rnacentral:rRNA from 1 species
GACGAACGCUGGCGGCGUGCCUAAUACAUGCAAGUAGAACGCUGAAGGAAGGAGCUUGCUCUUUCUGGAUGAGUUGCGAACGGGUGAGUAACGCGUAGGUAACCUGCCUGGUAGCGGGGGAUAACUAUUGGAAACGAUAGCUAAUACCGCAUAAAAUUGAUUAUUGCAUGAUAGUCAAUUAAAAGGUGCAACUGCACCACUACCAGAUGGACUUGCGUUGUAUUAGCUAGUUGGUGGGGUAACGGCUCACCAAGGCGACGGUACCUAGCCGACCUGAGAGGGUGGUCGGCCACCCUGGGACUGAGACACGGCCCAGACUCCUUCGGGGAGCAGCAGUAGGGAAUCUUCGGGCAUUGACGGAAGUCUGACCGAGCCACGCCGCGUGAGUGAAGAAGGUUUUCGGGUCGUUAAGCUCUGUUUUUAGGGAAGAACGAGUGUGAGAGUGGAAAGUGCACACUGUGACGGUAUCUUACCAGAAAGGGACGGCUAACUACGUG